rnacentral:rRNA from 1 species
CAACUUUCAACAAUGGAUCUCUUGGUUCUGGCAUCGAUGAAGAACGCAGCGAAAUGCGAUAAGUAGUGUGAAUUGCAGAAUUCAGUGAAUCAUCGAAUCUUUGAACGCACAUUGCGCCCCUUGGUAUUCCAUGGGGCAUGCCUGUUCGAGCGUCAUG